rnacentral:misc_RNA from 1 species
AUGAAGAACGCAGCAAAAUGCGAUAAGUAAUGUGAAUUGCAGAAUUCAGUGAAUCAUCGAAUCUUUGAACGCACAUUGCGCCCGCCAGUAUUCUGGCGGGCAUGCCUGUUCGAGCGUCAUUUCAACCCUCAAGCUCAGCUUGGUGUUGGGACUCGCGGUAACCCGCGUUCCCCAAAUCGAUUGGCGGUCACGUCGAGCUUCCAUAGCGUAGUAAUCAUACACCUCGUUACUGGUAAUCGUCGCGGCCACGCCGUAAAACCCCAACUUCUGAAUGUUGACCUCGGAUCAGGUAGGAAUACCCGCUGAACUUAAGCAUAUCAAUAAGCGGAGGA